UACGAAGGGUGCAAACGUUGCUCGGAAUUAUUGGGCGUAAAGGGUGCGUAGGCGGCGCGGUAAGUCGGGUGUGAAAUCUCGGAGCUUAACUCCGAAACUGCAUUCGAUACUGCCGUGCUUGAGGACUGGAGAGGAGACUGGAAUUUACGGUGUAGCGGUGAAAUGCGUAGAUAUCGUAAGGAAGACCAGUGGCGAAGGCGGGGUCUCUGGACAGUUCCUGACGCUGAGGCACGAAGGCCAGGGGAGCAAACGGG
rnacentral:rRNA from 1 species